ACGCUCGACACCUACGGGAGGCAGCAGUGGGGAAUAUUGCACAAUGGGGGAAACCCUGAUGCAGCGACGCCGCGUGGAGGAAGAAGGUCUUCGGAUUGUAAACUCCUGUUGUUGGGGAAAAAGAGGAUGGUACCCAACAAGGAAGUGACGGCUAACUACGUGCCACAGCCGCGUAAUCUGAGCGGGCUGGCAAGGC
rnacentral:rRNA from 1 species